UAGCUCAGUUGGUAAAUCAUCUGCCUGCAAUGCAGGAGACCCAGGUUCUAUUCCUGG
rnacentral:tRNA from 1 species